UGAGGAAUAUUGGUCAAUGGGCGAGAGCCUGAACCAGCCAAGUAGCGUGCAGGAUGACGGCCCUAUGGGUUGUAAACUGCUUUUAUAUGGGAAUAAAGUGAGGGACGUGUCCCUUAUUGCAUGUACCAUACGAAUAAGGACCGGCUAAUUCCGUGCCAGCAGCCGCGGUAAUACGGAAGGUUCGGGCGUUAUCCGGUUUUAUUGGGUUUAAAGGGAGCGUAGGCCGUUUGGUAAGCGUGUUGUGAAAUGUAGGAGCUCAACUUCUAGAUUGCAGCGCGAACUGUCAGACUUGAGUGCGCACAACGUAGGCGGAAUUCAUGGUGUAGCGGUGAAAUGCUUAGAUAUCAUGAAGAACUCCGAUUGCGAAGGCAGCUUACGGGAGCGCAACUGACGCUGAAGAUCGAAGGUGCGGGUAUCGAACAGG
rnacentral:rRNA from 1 species